GUGUUGCAUGGCUGUCGUCAGCUCGUGUCGUGAGAUGUUGGGUUAAGUCCCGCAACGAGCGCAACCCUCAUCCUUAGUUACCAUCAGGUAAUGCUGGGGACUUUAAGGAAACUGCUAGUGAUAAACUGGAGGAAGGUGGGGAUGAUGUCAAGUCAUCAUGGCCCUUAUGAAGUGGGCUACACACGUGCUACAAUGGUGGCUACAAUGGGCUGCAAAGUCGCGAGGCUAAGCUAAUCCCUUAAAAGCCAUCUCAGUUCGAAUUGCACUCUGCAACUCGAGUGCAUGAAGUUGGAAUCGCUAGUAAUCGUGGAUCAGCAUGCCACGGUGAAUACGUUAUCGGGUCUUGUACACACUGCCCGUCACGCCAUGGGAAUUGGUUUC
rnacentral:rRNA from 1 species